rnacentral:rRNA from 1 species
AUUGAACGCUGGCGGCAGGCUUAACACAUGCAAGUCGAACGAGUGGCGGACGGGUGAGUACUGCAUGGGAAUCUAGUUUAUGGAGGGGGAUAACUACUGGAAACUGUAGCUAAUACCGCGUACCAUAGGAUGAGCCCAAGUGGGCUUAGGUAGUUGGUGGGGUAAGGGCUCACCUAGGCGACGAUCUCUAGAUGGUGUGAGAGGCUGAUCAGCAACACUGGGAUUGAGACACGGCCCAGACUCCUACGGGAGGCAGCGGUGGGGAAUAUUACACAAUGGGCGCAGGCCUGAUGCAGCCAUGCCGAGUGUAUGAAGAAGGCCUUAGGGUUGUAAAGUACUUUCAGCGGGGAGGCGUUACCCGCAGAAGAAGCACCGGCUAACGCCGUGCCAGCAGCCGCGGUAAUAC